GAUGGGUUGUGUUUUUUGGGAUUUUGUUGCAGCAAGGGAACAGAUCAAGCUCUACUAAGGUUGUUUCAAUUCUGCAGAACGGUGCGCGGUGCAUGCUUUCCAAUUGACUAAAGGUCUAUACUCUGAGGAAUGCGCCUUAUGCGAGUGAGGAAAUUGAUGUGGUUCGUGAGCAAUGGGCUAAGUUUUUUACCAGCAAAUAUUUAUUAUUGGCCUGAUCGCGCUUGAUCGAGUUGGUUUAGAUGUUAUAGAACAAUCUUUUAUAUUAAAAUGUAUGCGUACAAUGAAAUUGGAACAUAUAUUUAAAUGUACGUGCACUUUGGUUUCAUGUAUACAAAACAACAAUUAUUGUUUUUA